rnacentral:rRNA from 1 species
GAUGAACGCUAGCGAUGUGCCUAAUACAUGCAAGUCGAACGAGGAAUUUAUUUCCUAGUGGCGAACGGGUGAGUAACACGUAUUUAAUUUACCCUUGCGAGGGGAAUAACUAAUGGAAACGUUAGCUAAUACCCCAUAUGUGUAAAGACAUAUGUUUUAUUAUUAAAGGAUCGUUUUGGUCCGCGCAGGGAUAAGAGUGCGUUGUAUUAGUUAGUUGGUGGGGUAAUGGCCUACCAAGACUAUGAUGCAUAGUCGAUCUGAGAAGAUGACCGGCCACAUUGGGACUGAGAUACGGCCCAGACUUCUACGGAAGGCAGCAGUAAGGAAUAUUCCACAAUGGGCGCAAGCCUGAUGGAGCGACGUCGCGUGAUUGAUGAAGGCCUAAGGGUUGUAAAAAUCUUUUGUAAAUGAAGAAAUUUAAUUUGAAAGAAUUAGACUUGACGUUAGUUUACGAAUAAGUCACGGCUAACUACGUGCCAGCCGCCGCCGUAAC